UACGUAGGGGGCAAGCGUUAUCCGGAUUUACUGGGUGUAAAGGGAGCGUAGACGGCCAUGCAAGUCUGAUGUGAAAACCCGGGGCUCAACCCCGGGACGGCAUUGGAAACUGUGAAGCUGGAGUGCGGGAGGGGCAGGCGGAAUUCCUGGUGUAGCGGUGAAAUGCGUAGAUAUCAGGAGGCACACCGGCGGCGAAGGCGGCCUGCUGGACCGUAACUGACGUUGAGGCUCGAAAGCGUGGGGAGCAAACAGG
rnacentral:rRNA from 1 species